UUUCCGGUUGAUCCUGCCGGACCUGACUGCUAUCGGAUUGAUACUAAGCCAUGUGAGUCUUUGUAGCAAUACAAGGCAGACGGCUCAGUAACACGUAGUCAAUCUAACCUAUAGACGGGGAUAACCUCGGGAAACUGAGAAUAAUACCCGAUAGAUCAUUAUGCCUGGAAUGGUUUAUGGUUGAAAUGAUUUUUCGCUAUAGGAUGGGACUGCGGUCUAUCAGCUUGUUGGUGAGGUAAUGGCCCACCAAGGCUAUAACAGAUACGGGCUCUGAGAGGAGAAGCCCGGAGAUGGGUACUAGACACGGACCCAGGCCCUAUGGGGCGCAGCAGGCGAGAAAACUUUGCAAUGUGCGAAAGCACGACAAGGUUAAUCCGAGUGUUUCCUGCUAAAGGAAUCUUUUGUCAGUCCUAAAAACACCGAUGAAUAAGGGGUGGGCAAGUUCUGGUGUCAGCCGCCGCGGUAAAACCAGCACCUCAAGUGGUCAGGAGGAUUAUUGGGCCUAAAGCAUCCGUAGCCGGCUCUGUAAGUUUUCGGUUAAAUCCAUAUGCUCAACGUAUGGGCUGCCGGGAAUACUGCAAAGCUAGGGAGUGGGAGAGGUAGACGGUACUCGGUAGGAAGGGGUAAAAUCCUUUGAUCUAUUGAUGACCACCUGUGGCGAAGGCGGUCUACUAGAACACGUCCGACGGUGAGGGAUGAAAGCUGGGGGAGCAAACCGGAUUAGGUACCCGGGUAGUCCCAGCUGUAAACAAUGCAAACUCAGUGAUGCACUGGCUUGUGGCCAGUGCAGUGCCGCAGGGAAGCCGUUAAGUUUGCCGCCUGGGAAGUACGUACGCAAGUAUGAAACUUAAAGGAAUUGGCGGGGGAGCACCACAAGGGGUGAAGCCUGCGGUUCAAUUGGAUUCAACGCCGGAAA
rnacentral:rRNA from 1 species